rnacentral:misc_RNA from 1 species
GAAAUGCGAUAAUUAAUGUGAAUUGCAGAAUUCAGUGAAUCAUCGAGUCUUUGAACGCACAUUGCGCCCCCUGGUAUUCCGGGGGGCAUGCCUGUUCGAGCGUCAUUGCUGCCCUCAAGCACGGCUUGUGUGUUGGGCUUCCGUCCCUGGCAACGGGGACGGGCCCAAAAGGCAGUGGCGGCACCAUGUCUGGUCCUCGAGCGUAUGGGGCUUUGUCACCCGCUCCCGUAGGUCCAGCUGGCAGCUAGCCUCGCAACCAAUCUUUUUAACCAGGUUGACCUCGGAUCAGGUACGGAUACCCGCUGAACUUAAGC